rnacentral:rRNA from 1 species
GACGAACGCUGGCGGCGUGCUUAACACAUGCAAGUCGAACGGAAAGGCCCUGCUUUUGUGGGGUGCUCGAGUGGCGAACGGGUGAGUAACACGUGAGUAACCUGCCCUUGACUUUGGGAUAACUUCAGGAAACUGGGGCUAAUACCGGAUAGGAGCUCCUGCUGCAUGGUGGGGGUUGGAAAGUUUCGGCGGUUGGGGAUGGACUCGCGGCUUAUCAGCUUGUUGGUGGGGUAGUGGCUUACCAAGGCUUUGACGGGUAGCCGGCCUGAGAGGGUGACCGGCCACAUUGGGACUGAGAUACGGCCCAGACUCCUACGGGAGGCAGCAGUGGGGAAUAUUGCACAAUGGGCGGAAGCCUGAUGCAGCAACGCCGCGUGCGGGAUGACGGCCUUCGGGUUGUAAACCGCCUUCGCCUGUGACGAAGCGUGAGUGACGGUAAUGGGUAAAGAAGCACCGGCUAACUAC